ensembl:vault_RNA Vault Vault RNA
GCGCCGGUUUAGCUCAGUGGUUACUUCUCCACAUGAUUGUUUCAUAGGUCCAUCCCUCCGGGGAUCAAACCACGGGUGCUGUCUGGUGUUUUC